rnacentral:rRNA from 1 species
AUGGCGGCGGCUCUGCUCCGAGCCGCUCGUGCUUCGCGGCACCUCGCGCUCCCUCGCUCUAUCGUCGGCCGCUCUAGCCAACUAUCCUCCUCCUCCUGCACCGCCUCUACGGCGGAGACGCCGUCCACUGCCGCCGCUGCGCCGCCCAUCCCGGCAGACGUUGAGGACGCGGUCGUCGUCGAAGCCGAAGAGGAGGACUUGAGGAGCCACAUCUUCCGGCUGCGGCUGGCGAAGCGGAGCGCGACGGAGGCGCUGGAGAAGUGGGCCGGCGAGGGCCGCGCCGCCCCCGCGCCGGAGCUCCGCGGCAUCGCCCGCGACCUCAGCCGCGCCCGCCGCUACAAGCACGCGCUCGAGGUAGCAGAGUUUAUGAAGACACAUCAUGAGUCUGAUUUAUCUGAGAACGACUAUGGGGUGCGCAUUGACUUGAUUACAAAAGUUUUUGGCGCGAAUGCAGCCGAAGAUUUUUUUGAGAAGCUUCCACCUACAGCCAAAUCACUGGAAGCAUAUACUGCAUUCCUCCAUUCUUACGCUCGAUCAAAGAUGAUAGACAAAGCUGAGAGGCUGUUUCAGAGAAUGAAGGAUGCAGACCUGCCUAUUGAUGUCCUGGUCUACAAUGAAAUGAUGACCCUGUAUAUUUCUGUGGGCGAGCUUGAUAAGGUUCCAACUCUUGCCGAGGAAUUGAAGAGGCAAAACGUUUCGCCAGAUCUAUUCACAUACAACCUCCGGAUCAGCGCGUCGGUUGCAUCCAUGGACCUAGAGGUCUUCAGAGGAAUUCUCGAGGAGAUGUCAAAAGAUCCGAACUCCAACGAAGGGUGGACACUGUACCGAAACCUCGCUAGUAUCUACGUUGAUGCCAGCCAGCUUGUUAGCUCGGGGAAUUCGCUGGUAGAAGCCGAGGCGAAGAUUAGCCAGAGGGAUUGGAUAACCUACGAUCUCCUCGUCAUCUUGCACGCCGGUCUCGGCAACCUGGACAGGGUGAAGGACAUAUGGAAAUCGAUGCAGAUGACUGCCCAGAGGAUGACUAGUCGGAACUAUGUCUGCGUGCUCUCUGCCUAUCUGAUGUGCGGGCAGCUGAAGGAUGCCGCGGAGGUCGUCGACCAGUGGCAGCGAUCGAAACUCCCAGAGUUUGACGUCUCCGCCUGCAACAGGCUGUUUGAUGCCCUUCUGGCUGCCGGCUUCACGGACACGGCGGAUAGCUUUAGAGAGCUGAUGUUGCAGAAGAGCUGUAUACUGUCGAGCAGGGCUAGCGCGUGCUCCUGA